GAUGAACGCUGGCGGCGUGCUUAACACAUGCAAGUCGAACGAUGAAGCCCAGCUUGCUGGGUGGAUUAGUGGCGAACGGGUGAGUAACACGUGAGUAACCUGCCCUUGACUCUGGGAUAAGCCUGGGAAACUGGGUCUAAUACUGGAUAUGACUUCUCAUCGCAUGGUGGGGGGUGGAAAGAUUUAUUGGUCUUGGAUGGACUCGCGGCCUAUCAGCUUGUUGGUGAGGUAAUGGCUCACCAAGGCGACGACGGGUAGCCGGCCUGAGAGGGUGACCGGCCACACUGGGACUGAGACACGGACCAGACUCCUACGGGAGGCAGCAGUGGGGAAUAUUGCACAACGGGCGCAAGCCUGAUGCAGCGACGCCGCGUGAGGGAUGACGGCCUUCGGGUUGUAAACCUCUUUCAGUAGGGAAGAAGCGAGAGUGACGGUACCUGCAGAAGAAGCGCCGGCUAACUACGUG
rnacentral:rRNA from 1 species